rnacentral:tRNA from 1 species
AAAUAAGAAAUAAAAUAUUAUAUUUAGUUUCGACCUAAAAUUUUGAUGAAUCCAUCCUUAUUUU